rnacentral:rRNA from 1 species
GCUUGGGAAUCUGCCUAUUAGCGGGGGAUAACCAACCGAAAGGUUGGCUAAUACCGCAUACGCUCUACGGAGGAAAGCCGGGGACCGCAAGGCCUGGCACUAACAGAUGAGCCCAAGUCGGAUUAGCUAGUUGGUGGGGUAACGGCCUACCAAGGCGACGAUCCGUAACUGGUCUGAGAGGACGACCAGUCACACUGGGACUGAGACACGGCCCAGACUCCUACGGGAGGCAGCAGUGGGGAAUAUUGGACAAUGGGGGCAACCCUGAUCCAGCGACGCCGCGUGGGUGAAGAAGGCCUGCGGGUUGUAAAGCCCUUUCGGUGGGGAUGAAAAGCUUCGUUCUAACACAGCGGAGUCUUGACCUAACCCACAAAAGAAGCACCGGCUAACUCUGUGCCAGCAGCCGCGGUAAUACAGAGGGUGCGAGCGUUAAUCGGAAUUACUGGGCGUAAAGCGCGCGUAGGCGGCUUUGCAAGUCGGAUGUGAAAUCCCCGGG